rnacentral:rRNA from 1 species
AUGGACGGCACCAAAGCCAACACCACCAUGAUGAUCAGUCCCCGGAAGCCGCGGGUGAUGCUCUACUCCUCCCCGCUCAUUGGCCACCUGGUCUCCAUGGUCGAGCUCGCCAAGCUCUUCGUCGCCCGUGGGCUAGCCGUCACCAUCGUCCUCAUGGACCCGGUGUACGACACCGGCGCUACGGGGCCCUUCCUGGCCGGCGUCUCCGCGGCCAACCCCUCCAUCUCUUUCCACCGUCUACCACAGGUCAAGCUCCUGGAGUCUGACCACUCCAUGAUACCGGCCUUAGCUAUCGCCCGCCACUCCAACCCGCACCUACGUGACUUUCUCACCGGCGCCUCCCCAGACGUCCUCGUGGUGGACUUCUUCUGCAGUGCCGCUGUGGACGUGGCCGCGGAACUUGGCAUACCCGUCUACUUCUUCAACACCUCCGGCGCCCAGAUCCUGGCUUUCAUCAUGCACCUCCCGGUUCUGCAUGGUAAAAGCACGAGGAGCUUCCGGGAAAUGGGCGAGGAAAUCGUGCACGUCCCGGGGAUCACCUCCUUCCGGGCGACCCACACCAUCCAGCCGCUCAUGGACCGUGACGGCGCGUCCUACAAUGCAUUUCUAAACGUCAACCUCAACCUGUUCCGGUCACAGGGCAUCAUCGUCAACACCUUCCGCUCGCUGGAGCCUCGUGCCAUGGACACCAUCCUCACCGGGCUCUCCACCCCACCCGGCCUCUCGACACCCCCAGUGCCAGUGUGGUGUUCUUGUGCUUUGGCAGCCUUGGCCGAUUCAGCGCUAGACAAACCAUAG